AUUUCUAGCACAAAAGAAACCCUCUGUAGCUACCGUUGCCCCUGCAGCCCUCUGGCUAGUAGCUGCUCUUUAAAGCCGUCGACUUGAGAAGUGAGGAUAAGGACAGACCUGCUGGGCCGCUGGCUGCUUUACCGAUUGUUACGGUUGGACUUCGAGGACACAAGAGGACGACGCUCGUUGCUUCCAAUUUUUCAAGGUCGAAACUGAAAUUUAGGGCUUUACUAUUCGAUUCACUGAAUCUAGUAUAGGUGAUACUUGUUUGGUUUGUCUCCAUGAAUGAAACCUCUAUCUCUAGUCGAUAUCAGGUUUGAGAAAUCUACCGACAUACUGUCAUUCUCUAAUUUGUUUAUGCAAAUAUGUGCAUGGUGAAUUUAGCCAAGCAAUAAAUUGUCAAUUGAUAAAUACCGACUAAUUUUCCAAGACAUUGAUUAUCGAUUAUCAUUCUACUUGGUAUAAAUUGUUGCAUUGCUGACAAUUCGUCCUUGGCUUUACUACACUCUCAUCCUAUUCAUGCAAUGCCCUAAAUUAUUACACUAUUUUGUAUUUUUCAUAUUCUUCUUCUCUAUGGUGGUGAAGUGCAUUAUGAAUGAACUUAUAUAUUGGCUUAGAAAGUUGACAAUAUGCAUAUGAAUGGAUAUUUAUUCUGAUCAUGCAAAUUUCGGAAUAACAUGUGACUUUUGGUGCCAUCCAAAGAACAUUAAUGAAUAUGACUCAUUGACAAAAAAGUAUCUAAUUACUCGAAGCAUGAAGAGGAUGCAUGAUAUAGAGUUUACCAGUUUUUGGUUAGCUUUUAUCAGUGACUUUUUCUUGAAUAGUUUGUUGGUCGAGGGUAAUUAAGGUCGUAUAUCAAUUCAGGGGUUUAUUCAUGGGAACAAACAAAAGUUUACUUGGCAAAUAGAUAGAUCAAUUCGAUGUUGAACCACAAAAAACCUGCUUGACAGGACCUAUUACCACCAGGUUAUCUCAACUGUUAUAGAUAAAAUGAUAGUCAAACACAUAAUAUAUACAAGAUUGUGCUAUAUUUACAUCACAACUUACUGAUUUGUUAAUAAACAGAUGACAUGACUAGAUUUAACUAAAUCAAAAUCUCACCAAUGAAAUAAAAGAAUAAUAAUUCCCCCAACUUAUUUUUGCCAUUAACUCACAUUACAUAAGUACAACUAUUUAAGUGGUGAAGAGAUUUUAACAAUUUUAUUAUGUGUUUGAUGUGUGUGGGUGAUGGCAAAAACUGUUUUGGCUAUGCCCUUGAGCUUAGAUAGUUUGACUUGAAUCACAAGGUUAUGUCCUGAAGCUUGCACCAACAUGGCUUUCAUUUAUGAUAGACAGAGUAAAAGAAGAUUUAAUGCAUUGAAUCCUCUUUUAAAAAGCAAGAAUUUUCUCCAAUUUUCCUCCACUUCUGGAGAAGGGGGCCAUCCCAUGUGUAAAUUCUUGAAAAUUAUAGAGACUAGUAUAUAGAUAUCUGAUGUGGUUUUAUUUAUUUCUUUCCAAGAAUACUUCUUAUUACAAAGAGUUUUUUUCUUUCUAUGUAUACUCUUAUUAUAAAGAGUCUUUAAUUAAUGAAAUUUUACCCUUUGGAGAAAAAUGUCUCGGUGAAGUUGAUGGUAUGCUUGCACACUAUGGCAAGUUGUUGUGUUUGGUUAACUGUACAUGUUAUGUGGAAGUAGACAUUUGUUAUAACAUAGCAUACACAUCUAAUUGUCUAUGUGUAGAGCCCUUUUUUUGUUGAUAACAAACCGUGUGUUCUAGUGCCCAUCGCUUAAAGUAAACCUUAUAUUAAAUGAAUAAAGGCUUGCAGUGUCAAAUAUACAUAAGGUUACCCAGCUUGUGAAAAUUCCUAUCCAGAAUGGACCAUGUUGUGCCCAGCUCUUAGGGGCAAGCCACCCAAGAGAGAGAACCUUGAGCAAUCUGUAAUCCUUUUCUUUUAGACUUGCACGUUAAAUGUAUCUGUAAUCCUUUUCUUUUAGUAGUUAGUGGUCUUCAACUUAUAGAAUUGAGCAAUAUUCCUUAUUUUUACCUGGCAAGUUGAUCAGUUCAACAGAUCAACCUACAGCAUAUUUUGAAGCAUCUAACUUUCCUUUCAAUGACUAGUUCAAUAGGAAGCUCCUAGCCUGCAUGUACAAAGCACAUGCAUUAUUUUUUUAUAUAAAGUAAAUUAGGUGGUCCAUUGUAGGAGGAUUUAGGUAAUGUGACUCUUAAGAUUUUAUAAUAUGUUUGAAAAUAAAACCAUUGUUUAUGUAAAUCUCCAAUAGUAAACCAUUGUUUAUGUAAAUCUCCAAUAGUCUACUAUCAUGACACCAUCCAUAACGUAAUGAUAUUUGAUACCAUUUUGUACUUUUACAUUGGUUCUUAUCGUUUUUCUAUAUUUUUCUUUUCCAGUCGAUUUCGGCGUUUGUACCUAUCGUCAAUCCUAUAAAUUAUCCCUUGGUCAAAAAACUUUCACAAAUUACUUGGGCAAAAAUAAAGCCGCGUGGCAGGUAUGAUCUUUGAUUGGCCAUGAACAUAUUUGGCUAUAAUACCUGCCUAAGGUUAAUGUUUACUUAUAGUAAAGUUACUUAUUUUGAUAGUGAGAUGAAUCAUAAGAGUUAUUCAAAAUAAGAUAUUUGUAGACCUAAAGAAAUUACUUUUACUUAUUUUUAAGCUCUCAAUUUGUAUUUGUGUUGUUUCUAAUAAUAAUGGACAAAGCACGACUACAAUUAUCAAGGUUAUUGUCUGAAAUAGAUUUCGUGAAUCUACUUACAAAAUUUUAAUAAUUUAACAUAAAAUGAUCAUAAUAUUUUACUUAUAGGUUUUCAGAACAAUAUAGAGAUGGAGCACGGAAUUUUGUUGAACUAGCUCGUGAAAAUCUAUGUUCAGAAAUGAUAGAGUGUCCUUGUUUUAAGUGUAGAAAUCUAAAGCAUCAUCAUUAUGAAAUAGUGUAUGAACAUUUGGUUAUUAAGAGAAUGGAUCCUAUGUACACUGUUUGGGUAUUUCAUGGAAAACGACCAUGUGAAUUAAAUUCAGUCGAUGUGGAAAUGUCUGAGUCACGUAGAAUGUUUAGGGACUUAUAUGUACAACAUGAUGUUGUACAACAUGAUGUAGGUUUUGAAAACCGUCUUGAUGGAAGAGAUGGAGAGAUUCAAUGUGUGGUUGACGAUGCCGAAACACCUUUGUAUCCUGGUUGUACGGCAUUUACGAAGAUGUAACUUCGAUUGCUAUGUUUAAACAUAAAGCUACACAUGGUUUAUCUAAUAGUGGUUUUGAUGUACUUAUAAAUCUUGUACAAGACAUGCUGCCAGAUAAUAAUACACUUCCUAAGUCAUUUUAUGAUAUGAAAAAAUUGUGAAUACAUUGACCUUGGUUAUGAGAAAAUACAUGAUUGCCUGAAUGAUUGUUGUCUGUAUAGAAAGGAGCUUGAACAUGCUGUAUUUUAUCCAAAACGUGGUUGCUCAAGAUCCAAAGUUAACCAACGGACUAAGAAAAUUAAAAAAUAAAUAAAUCCAGCAAAAGUCUUGUGUUAUUUCCUUGUAAUACCAAGACUUACGAGGAUAUUUUGGAGUCGAUGAGAUGGCGACACGACCUAGAUGGCAUUCAAAUAAUAAAAGUUUAGAUGGUAGAAUUAGGCAUUCGAUUGACUCAUUAAGUUGGGAAAUAAUUAAUAGAAUAUGGUCACAUUUUGCAUCAGAUCCUAGAAAUACUAAACUAGGUCUUGCAACUGAUGGAUUUAAUUCUUUUGAAGAUCGUAGCUCUAAACACAAUUGUUGGCCAGUAAUUUUAAUUAUAUAUAAUUUGCCUCCCUCAUUAUGCAUGUCGAAGGAAAGUUUGAUGUUGAGUUUAAUGUUCUCGGGACUAAAGCAAUUAGGUAAUGACAUAGAUGUUUAUUUAGCAUCACUUGCAGAUGACUUAAUAUUAUUAUAAAGUAAUGGGAUUAAGAUAUAUGAUGCAGUUAUAGAAUCUAUAUUCAACUUAAAAGUUAUUUUGAUGUAGACAAUAAAUGACUUUCCUGCAUAUGGAAAUGUAUCUGGAUGGCCCGUUAAGGGAAAAAUUUGAUGCAGGAGAAUCCGAGUCAAGUGAUGCUGAUUUGUCAGAUUGCACGAUGAUGGCGCUGAGAUACCAUGAGAUGGCGGAUCGGCGCAAAGAUGGAAAGUAAAUCACCAUUAUUUCCUUAAUUGGGAGAUUUUGACGCGUCUUUGGUAAUUUGGUCAUAACUUUGGCUACGGUUAUCGGAAUCGCUAUUAUGACCCCAAUUCGGAAAGCUCUCUUCGGCGCGCACGUCGUGGCCACCCAGCUUCGCUCGGUGGACGUCAAUUUCAAGCCCAAAAUCCACUGUUUUCCUUUCCAAAAUUCAAUUUUAAGUUAUUUCUUACUAUUUAUGGUAAUAUUUAGUUUCCUUUUUUCUAUAUGUUAGAGAACUCGAAUUAAGCCAAAUUUUUGGCAACUUACUUCUUUUACUUAAUAUAUUAUUUUGGUAUAAUUUCGGAAUUUUGCCAUUUUUGGUAAUUUUCCAAUAAUUUCGUAUUUCGCAGCUAUUUAACCCGACUUGUGGGUUUGUUUUCAG
rnacentral:lncRNA from 1 species